rnacentral:rRNA from 1 species
CAGCAGCCGCGGUAAUACGUAGGGAGCGAGCGUUGUCCGGAAUCAUUGGGCGUAAAGAGCUCGUAGGCGGCUUGGUAAGUCGGAUGUGAAACCUCCAGGCUCAACCUGGAGUCGCCAUCCGAUACUGCCAUAGCUAGAGUCCGGUAGGGGCCCACGGAACUCCUGGUGUAGCGGUGAAAUGCGCAGAUAUCAGGAAGAACACCGGUGGCGAAGGCGGUGGGCUGGGCCGGCACUGACGCUGAGGAGCGAAAGCGUGGGGAGCGAACAGGAUUAGAUACCCCCGUAGUCCCUGUCUCUUAUA